rnacentral:rRNA from 1 species
GACGAACUUUGGCGGCGUGCUUAACACAUGCAAGUCGAACGGUAAGGCUCCAGCUUGCUGGGGUACACGAGUGGCGAACGGGUGAGUAACACGUGGGUGACCUGCCCUGCACUUCGGGAUAAGCCUGGGAAACUGGGUCUAAUACCGGAUAGGACCGCACCGUGAGGGUGUGGUGGAAAGUUUUUUCGGUGUGGGACGGGCCCGCGGCCUAUCAGCUUGUUGGUGGGGUAAUGGCCUACCAAGGCGGCGACGGGUAGCCGGCCUGAGAGGGUGGACGGCCACAUUGGGACUGAGACACGGCCCAGACUCCUACGGGAGGCAGCAGUGGGGAAUAUUGCACAAUGGGCGGAAGCCUGAUGCAGCGACGCCGCGUGGGGGAUGACGGCCUUCGGGUUGUAAACUCCUUUCACCAUCGACGAAGGGUUUCUGACGGUAGAUGGAGAAGAAGCACCGGCUAACUACGUGCCAGCAGCCGCGGUAAUACGUAGGGUGCGAGCGUUGUCCGGAAUUACUGGGCGUAAAGAGCUCGUAGGUGGUUUGUCGCGUCGCCUGUGAAAUUCCGGGGCUUAACUCCGGGCGUGCAGGCGAUACGGGCAUAACUUGAGUACUGUAGGGGAGACUGGAAUUCCUGGUGUAGCGGUGAAAUGCGCAGAUAUCAGGAGGAACACCGGUGGCGAAGGCGGGUCUCUGGGCAGUAACUGACGCUGAGGAGCGAAAGCAUGGGGAGCGAACAGGAUUAGAUACCCUGGUAGUCCAUGCCGUAAACGGUGGGCGCUAGGUGUGGGUUUCCUUCCACGGGAUCCGUGCCGUAGCUAACGCAUUAAGCGCCCCGCCUGGGGAGUACGGCCGCAAGGCUAAAACUCAAAGGAAUUGACGGGGGCCCGCACAAGCGGCGGAGCAUGUGGAUUAAUUCGAUGCAACGCGAAGAACCUUACCUGGGCUUGACAUAUACAGGAUCGCGCCAGAGAUGGUGUUUCCCUUGUGGCUUGUAUACAGGUGGUGCAUGGUUGUCGUCAGCUCGUGUCGUGAGAUGUUGGGUUAAGUCCCGCAACGAGCGCAACCCUUGUCUUAUGUUGCCAGCACGUUGUGGUGGGGACUCGUAAGAAACUGCCGGGGUUAACUCGGAGGAAGGUGGGGAUGACGUCAAAUCAUCAUGCCCCUUAUGUCCAGGGCUUCACACAUGCUACAAUGGUCGGUACAGUGGGUUGCCAGUCCGUGAGGGCGAGCUAAUCCCGCAAAGCCGGUCUCAGUUCGGAUCGGGGUCUGCAACUCGACCCCGUGAAGUCGGAGUCGCUAGUAAUCGCAGAUCAGCAACGCUGCGGUGAAUACGUUCCCGGGGCCU